rnacentral:lncRNA from 10 species
ACCACUGCCACAAAGAUGGGUCUGUGUCUCAAAACCAUAAAUGACUAUAAUUCUAGUAAUGUGGACUAAAAAAUUUACCAAUAUGCAAAUGAAUACCAAUAAAUGAAGUCACCAUACUUUCUUAACUUCUGGAUUUGCCAUACAUUGUUACCUCUGAUUUGCCUGGCUAACACUUACUCAUGCUUCACAUUUCAGCCUGGAUGUCAUUUCCUCCAGAAAGUCUUACCUGUUCCCUUGAGUUCGGAUUAAGUGUUUCUCAUAUCUUAGAAGUAGCCUAUCUUCUGUCCUUCCCUGCCCUCUCUAAUUAGUUCUAAUUAGUUCAAAACCUCAAUCAAACUUGCCAGUUUUCAGUUUUUGUAUUAGCAUUGAGGAUUCCCAGAACUUAACUAAGAAUGGUUGGAGAAACAAGAAAAUGUUUGUUCUCCUCUGUUUUUAUAUAGGAAACCAGAUUAAGUAAAACAGCUUCUUCUAUAAGAUAAAUCCUCCAGUGGCCAGCCUGGGGCAAGUUGGCUCCUCUUGUGCAACUACAUACUCAAUAGAACACUGUUAAAAUUUGUUUUAAUUGUAUUUUUUUUUUCACAAAUCCAUUCCCAGAACUUAUAAUACU